GGACAGUUAGCUCAGUUGGUUAGUGUGUGGUACUGAUAACACCAAGAUUGUGGGUUGAAUCCCCAUAUGGGCCA